CCUACGGGUGGCAGCAGUGGGGAAUAUUGGGCAAUGGGCGCAAGCCUGACCCAGCAACGCCGCGUGAAGGAAGAAGGCUUUCGGGUUGUAAACUUCUUUUCUCAGGGACGAAGCAAGUGACGGUACCUGAGGAGUAAGCCGCGGCUAACUACGGACCAGCAGCCGCGGUAAUACGUAGGUGGCAAGCGUUAUCCGGAUUUACUGGGUGUAAAGGGCGGGUAGGCGGGGCUUCAAGUCAGAUGUGAAAACCCCGGGCUCAACCUGUGGACUGCAUUUGAAACUGGAGUUCUUGAGUACUGGAGAGGCAGACGGAAUUCCUAGUGUAGCGGUGAAAUGCGUAGAGAUUAGGAGGAACACCAGUGGCGAAGGCGGUCUGCUGGACAGCAACUGACGCUGAGGUGCGAAAGCGUGGGGAGCAAACAGGAUUAGAUACCCUAGUAGUC
rnacentral:rRNA from 1 species